UGCUUCGGAAUCUGCCCAAUGGUGGGGAAUAACCAGCCGAAAGGUUGGCUAAUACCGCAUAAGUCCUACGGGAGAAAGCAGGGGAUCGUAAGACCUUGCGCCGAUGGAUGAGCCGAAGUCGGAUUAGCUAGUUGGUAGGGUAACGGCCUACCAAGGCGACGAUCCGUAGCUGGUCUGAGAGGACGACCAGCCACACUGGGACUGAGACACGGCCCAGACUCCUACGGGAGGCAGCAGUGGGGAAUAUUGGACAAUGGGGGAAACCCUGAUCCAGCGACGCCGCGUGUGUGAAGAAGGCCUGCGGGUUGUAAAGCACUUUUAGUGGGGAUGAAAAGCUCAGGGAUAACACCUCUGGGUCUUGACCUAACCCACAGAAAAAGCACCGGCUAACUCUGUGCCAGCAGCCGCGGUAAUACAGAGGGUGCAAGCGUUAAUCGGAAUUACUGGGCGUAAAGCGUGCGUAGACGGUUAUGUAAGUCGGGUGUGAAAGCCCCGGGCUCAACCUGGGAAUGCCAUUCGAGACUGCAUAGCUAGGGUGCGGAAGAGGGAAGCGGAAUUUCCGGUGUAGCGGUGAAAUGCGUAGAUAUCGGAAGGAACACCAGUGGCGAAAGCGGCUUCCUGGUCCAGCA
rnacentral:rRNA from 1 species